rnacentral:snRNA from 1 species
AUCGCUUCUUGGCCUUUUGGCUAAGAUCAAGUGUAGGAUUGCUUUUGAUUCGUUGAUUGACACUAAUUUUAAAUAGAAUUUUGUAUUUAUA